rnacentral:tRNA from 1 species
GGAGUUGUGGCUCAGUGGUAGAGCACUUACCUGGCAUGGUGAGGCCCUGAGUUCAAUCCUCAGCACCCCA